AGGUGAAAUUCUUGGAUUUAUGAAAGAUUAACUUCUGCGAAAGCAUCUGCCAAGGAUGUUUUCAUUAAUCAAGAACGAAAGUUAGGGGAUCGAAGACGAUCAGAUACCGUCGUAGUCUUAACCAUAAACGAUGCCGACCAGCGAUUAGGAGACGUUGAAUACAAAACACCACCAUGUAUAAUUCAGUAUAUGGCCAGUCAAAUGGUUGUAUAUUGUUUGUACAUG
rnacentral:rRNA from 1 species